UACGGAGGAUCCGAGCGUUAUCCGGAUUUAUUGGGUUUAAAGGGUGCGCAGGCGGGAUGUUAAGUCGGCGGUGAAAUUUUGCAGCUCAACUGUAAAAGUGCCUUCGAUACUGGCUUUCUUGAGUGUGGAUGAAGUAGGCGGAAUUUGUGGUGUAGCGGUGAAAUGCUUAGAUAUCACGAGGAACUCCGAUUGCGCAGGCAGCUUACUAAACCACUACUGACGCUCAUGCACGAAGGCGUGGGGAUCAAACAGGAUUAGAAACCCUCGUAGUCC
rnacentral:rRNA from 1 species